rnacentral:lncRNA from 1 species
UCCAUCGAGGAACGUGAAAAAUUAGAACAAAUUGGGCAAAGAAUUGCAGGCAAGUGCAAAGGUUUACCUCUUGCAGCAAAGACAAUAGGGCAUCUCAUGCGUUCUAAACAAACUGAAGAAGAGUGGAAAAGAAUUUUAAAUAGUGAUUUAUGGAAAGUAGAAAAGAUUGAGAAAGAUGUUUUGUCCUCUUUAUUGUUGAGUUAUAAUGAUUUGCCAUCUAGAGUAAAAAGAUGUUUUUCAUAUUGUGCUGUCUUUCCAAAAGAUUAUAAUAUAAGAAAAGACAAACUAAUCUCAGUAUGGGUGGCUCAAGGUUAUCUUAGUGCAGAAGCAGCAGAACAAAAUGAGGAGUUGGAGACUAUAGGUGAAGAGUAUUUUAGCAUCUUAGCUUCUCGCUCUUUCUUUCAAGAGUUUAAGAAAAGUUAUGAUAAUUGGAUUAUAGAGUGUAAGAUGCAUGAUAUGGUACAUGAUUUUGCCCGAUUUGUAAGUCAAAAUGAAUGUUUUUCCAUGGCAAUUAAUGGUAGUGAAGAAUCAAACGCCACAAACUCUCUUGAUGAGAAGGUCCGUCAUUUAAUGUUAAUCUUUAGUAAAGGGGCUUCAUUACCUGUUUCCACUCUUAGAGUUAAAAGAAUGCGUAGCCUCUUUAUUAACGAUAGUGAAUCUGAUCAUUCAUCAUUAAAUGGUGAGAUCCUAGAAGAAUUAUUUAGGGAAUUGACAAGUUUAAGGGCAUUAGAUUUUGGCAAAUCGUGUAACUCAAGUUGGUCUUCGACUCUGGAGUAGGGAUGGCAAAAAUCCCCACGGGGACGGGUACCCUCGGGGAUUUUCCCCAUUCGGGGAGGGUAUGGGGAUAAUUUCAUACCCAAUUUCUUAUUCGGGGAGGGGACGGGGAAAUUUUUUUACCCAAUUUCUUAUUCGGGGAGGGGACGGGGAUGAGGUGGAAUCCCCAUCCCCUACCCAUUUCCCCAUUUUAAUUUUUAAUUUAAUUUUAAUUUUUUAAAAUUACUAGUAAAUAAAUUAUAAAAUUUAAAUUAUAAAAUUAUAAAUAUUGGUAAAAAUAAAAAAUAUCAAAAUAUUUAUAUUAUUAAACUUUUAGGCCUAAUUAGCUAAUUAAAGUUCUAAAUUUUUAUUUAGGACAUUAAAAAGACUGAGUAGAUUCUAUUAGCCAAAUUUUUUUUUAAUUUUGAUAUUCUUUAAAUAUUUUAAACUUAAAUCUAUUUUUUAUUUAAUUUUAGAUGUUAUAAUUGCCCACAGCGAAUCACAAUUUUAAUAUCUAAUCUAAUCUAAUCUAAUAUUUACUUUUGAUUUGCUCCGAUUUAACUAUUGUGUUGUAAAGGGAAUAGUCCACAUUUAUAAAGUGCCCACGCCACCAUUGAAAAAGUUAAUUUUGAAUCUAAAUUUGAUUUUAUUUGUAACAAUUUUGUAUUAGACUAUUAAUUUGUUCAUGAUAGUUUGUAAAAUAAGUUUGUAUCUCUUGUAUGUUGCGUUACUUACUAAUUUAAUGUAUGUGACUUUUGUAAUAGAUAUUAAUGUAAGAUAUAUUUCGAACUUUACUUUUAUUUGAAUUUUUUAUUUUAAUAUGAUUAACUCAAAAUCGAAAAAAAAAUGUAUUAGUUAAUCGGGGAUCGGGGACCCUCGGGGAUCCCCUGUUAUUAUCUUCNNNNNNNNNNNNNNNNNNNNNNNNNNNNNNNNNNNNNNNNNNNNNNNNNNNNNNNNNNNNNNNNNNNNNNNNNNNNNNNNNNNNNNNNNNNNNNNNNNNNACCUUAUUUGUGUUUUCAGAAAAUAGUGAAACUACCGGAGACAUUAUGCGAGUUGUAUAAUCUAGGAAAGUUAGAUAUUAGUUGUUGUUAUAGUCUUAAAGAAUUACCUGAAGGGAUUGGGAAGUUAAUAAACAUGAAGCAUUUACUAAAUAGAGAUACUCAUUCUUUAAGGUACAUGCCAGUAGGGAUUGGGAGAUUAACGGGUCUUAGGACCUUGGAUGAGUUCCACGUGAGUGCAGGAGGAGGUGUUGAUGAUAGGAAAGCAUGUAGGCUUGAAUCUCUAAAAAAAUUGGAACACCUUCAAGUAUGUGGUAUACGUAGACUGGGUGAUGUAUCAGAUGUGGGCGAGGCUAAGCGAUUAGAACUUGACAAAAAGAAAUACCUCUUCAGUUUGACCCUUGAGUUUGAUAAGAAGGAAAGAGGAAGAGAAAGGAGGAAGAACGAGGACGAUCAACUUCUUCUUGAAGCCCUGCGACCACCCCUGGAUUUUAAGGAAUUAGAGAUACGGUUCUACCGAGGCAACACUGUUUUCCCCAGCUGGAUGACGUCAUUAACCAACUUAAAGAGUUUAGAUCUCUGUAACUGCGAAAAUUGCGAGCAGCUGCCUCCUUUGGGAAAAUUGCCGUCCCUUGAAAAACUCAGCAUAAUGUUUAUGCCUGUGAAAAGAGUGGGUGAUGAAUUUUUGGGGAUAGAAAGUGGUCAUCGUGACUCAUCUUCAUCUUCAUCGGUUAUUAUUGCCUUCCCCAAAUUGAAAUCACUUUCAAUUGAGUCUCUGGACGAAUUGGAGGAGUGGGAUUAUGGGAUUACAGGAACGGGAAACACCUUCAUCAACAUCAUGCCACGUCUUUCUUCUUUGGAAAUUAAUUACUGCCCCAAAUUAAAGGCACUGCCCGACCACAUUCAUCAAACGACAACAUUGAAGGAAUUGCGCAUUUGGGGGUGUGACCUUCUGGAAGAACGUUACCGCAAGGGAGAAGGAGAAGACUGGCCUAAGAUAUCACACAUUCCCAACCUCCAUAUUGGGCUUUGACAAGUAAUUUCUUCUCUUACUCUGAUUUGCUUUGUUGUUGUUUUUAAUCUAAUUAAGAAGCGUAAAUAGCAUUUUGAAUCAAACUCUAUAUCAGAAAUCUGCAAUACUUACUUUCUAAUAUUCUGAUUUUCAUAUCCUAUGAAUAUACGAUUUUUAAUUUGUGAGAUGGGUAACGUUACUGUAAAAGAUUAUUAAUGCAAUAUGAGUAAUUCUUUUGCAGGACAAGUGACCUACAUUUAGUUUGGCUUUGGAGUUGAAUAAUAACCUUUCGGGAACUGGUGUGGACUGGCAAAGGAUGAUGAGAUAGUUUUUUGAGUGAGUAAAUUUUGGGAGCUUGAGUGUAUUGGGAUUUGCAAUUACAAUCAUCCUCUGCUUCAGGUGAUUUCUUCUCUUGCUCUGUCAUUGUUUGUUCUCUAAUUCAAAAGCAUGAAAUAUUUCAAUCAAUUUUUAUACCAGGAAUAUGCAAAAGUUUCUAAUAUUUUAUUUCCAUCUGUUACAAGAUCAAACUGAAGCAGAACUCAAACAAAAGUAUGCUACUUCUUGCGGAAAUCUUGCCUUUGUUCAGAUUAUGAAACCAUUUCCAUGCAGCAAAUUCAUCCAAAAGUUUGAAUAAGUUUCAUGGUCGGACACUGUUGGCUUCUUUUUCUUCUGGGGUGCAUUUAGGUGCUAUCAAGUGACAGCUGUAAGUAUGAUUGCACUAAGCUGCUGCUGGGAAAUUUGAGGUUUUGAUGGCUGCCCAUGUUAUUUUCAAGAAACUAUUGAUGUAAGAAGCCGUGGUUCUUUUCAUCAGCUUGAACCUGAAACUGUCGCUAUGGAUAACUCAGGUUUUUGUUAUCAACUAUAUCAUCUUUUUCACUAUUUUGAAACUCUUAAGAUUAAACGUUAGUAAAGUUGUUUCAGCUAUUCAAAUGAAAAACUCAUUGAUUUGAGACUUCCUUCAUUAUUGUUUCUAAUUACAAUGCUAACGAUCCAGAUAAAAUAAUAUUUAAUCGGCGAAGGUGUCCCUUGGAAGUACAUCCUUCUUUUUCUUUUAUUAUAUAAAUUCUUGCAAUGAGCUUAGUGAAGCUGUUGUGCUAUCAUGCCACUGCAUAAUUUGGCCCCUAAUGUGGGUACUCUGUUUCAUUGUUCUGCAAAUUCUCCAGCAGUUAAAAUCAAUAAAUUUUCUAUUAGCUCUAGUGCUUUGACCUAAAUGCUAUUCUAUAUUCUGAUUACAAUGUUUUAACCUUUAAAUUAACUACUCCUAGAUGUUGGAUUUUCUAGAACUUCAAAAUGAUUAAUGGAGAAAGAUCCCAUUAUCGUUAUUGCUAUAAGAAAUUGAUUUAUGCAUCCAAAGAUACAUUAUAUAUUUCUGUGUCUCUAUUUAUAGAUGACAUUUAAGCAUCCAUAAACCGUCAGACAGAGGAAGGGGGUUCAGUGCAAAGAUUCUGUUGACCUAGGGUUGACUGCAUAAUGUCACUUGUUCGCAAUCUAUUAUUUAUUUUAUAUUUUGAAGAAUUUAAUGGGUAAUCCUAAUUGUUUGUUUUGGCAGGUAUGUGUUGUUAUCUCCUUCUAUCUUACAGUCAUACCUAAAUAGCAUAGUUUCAUCUGUGUUACCAUGUGAUGUACAUAAUUUCACAUUUGCCUCAGAUUAAGCUUAAUUUCCCACAAAAUAGAGCUGUCGCGACUGGACUUAGGUUGAUGUCCAAAGAGGUAAAUUAUUGGCAUGCCUAGAUAAUUUGGCCAUUUCCUAAUUCAUAAGUCUACGUUAAUUUUGAUUUUGAGUUGACUGAUUUCUUUUCAAGGUCUGCUUCCUUAACGGAGUGACCAAUGUUUUUCAACUAAAUUUAUCAUAUGAUGCAGGAAGCAGGGCAGGAUAUGAAAUGAGAAGCUCAUUGGUGGAAGUAUUGCCAGUAGCAGAACCCAAUGAAAAUGAAACUAUUUCAAGGCAGCAGUUGGCAGUUGCAAGUGAAUGGAGGCCCUUGACAAAAUUCUCAAGCGGUUGCAAUGCAAUUACGAUCAUCCUCAGCCUCAGGUAAUUUCUUCUCCUGCUUUGUAUUUAUUUGUUAUCUAAUUAGGAAGCGUAAAGUAUCUUGAAUCAUUUUCUGUAUCUGGAAUAUAUGCAAGAGUUUCUAAAAUUUUGAUAUGAGUGUAAUGAUGGUAAUUUCUGUUUUCUGUCUGUCAUCAAAUGUUAGAAAACUUUCAUUGAGACCCUUGAACCGAGUCAUUUUUGACAAGUGAAGGACAAUUGCUGAAGAGUGGGAAUGGUGCUAGAUUGGGGAAUAAAGACAAAGGAGGUAAAUUAUUUGCAGUUUAUUCAGCAUUAUUUGCUUUGGACCAGCGCCUGAUUCACAAGUCUCCAUAAUUUGGCUUUUGACCAGUUAAUAAAUUUUUAAUUCCAUUGGUGCUAAAUGUACACGUGAAGCAGGCAGAGCAGGACUGUGGAAAUGAGAAGGUUUUUAGUGAAAGCUUAAACUCAGGUAAUUCUAAAAAGUACAUGUUUUUGCUGAUUUAUCUAAAUCAGGAAAUUUUAUUUCCAUCUGUUACAAGAUAAAACAGAAACAGUCAAACAGAACACACAGAAAAAUAUUCUACUUCUUGUGGCAAUCUUGCCUUCAUUCAGACAAUGAAACCAUUUCCUUUCACCAAUUUCUUCCAAAAGUUUGAAUAAGUUUCAUGGUUGGACAUAGUUAGCUUCUUUUUCUUUUGGUGCAUUUAGGUCCUAUCAAGUGACAGCCAUAAGUAUGAUUGCAUUAUUGGAAAAUUUUAGGUUUGGAUGGUUCCCCAUGUUAUUGCCAAGAAAGUCCUCAUGUCAGAAGCUGCGGUUCUUUUCAUCAGCCUGAACCCGAACCUGUCGUUAUGGAUAACUCAGGUUUUUGUCGUCAACUAUAUCAUCUUUUUUACUGUUUUGAAACUCUUAAGAUUAAACUUCAGUAAAGUUGUUUCAGUUAUCCAUGUAAUCCGGCUAAGGAUAUUUAGCAGCUUAUUUAGGCAACUGCCAGAAUUCAGUUUGUUUGCUCGAAACUUGUAUGGUGACAAGGAUACUGGCAAGGAUAGUGAGAUAGUUUUUUGUGUGAGUGAAAUUUGAAAGCUUGGGUGUUCUGGGAUUUGCAAUUGCAAUCAUCCUCUGAGUCAGGUGAUUUCUUCUCCUGCUCUGUCUUGAUUUUCUCUCUAAUUGAAAGCAUAAAGUAUUUCAAUCAAAUUCUGUACCAGGAAUACGUAAAAGUUACUAAUAUUUUAUUUCCAUCUGUUUGCAUUGAUAACUCGGCCGCAUAUGUUCUAGUUAAAGAACAAACAGAAACAGAGUUCAGGAAAAAGUUUCUUCGGCCACCAUAUUUGAAAAUGAAACCAUUUCCAGGAAGCAGUUGGCAGCAAAUUCAUAUGGAGUGUAGACAAUGAUGAGCGAAAAGGUGAUUCGCAAUUUCUUUUUUUUUUUUAAGUGAAAUUAUUUGUUAGAUUGAAGCUGAUAUUGUAAGAAGGCCAUUGAGCUAACCUAUGUCGCCACUUGCCUAGAUUGCAGGGGGUCAAGACUCAAAAGAAGCACUGAAAUUUAAAAAGCAUGCAAUAGUUCUUUUGCCAUGUGUCAAUUAAUGCAAGUUUGAAUAAGUUUAUUGGCUGAACGAUGUUAGCUUCUUUUCCUUUCGUGCACUUUGGUAUGCUAUCAAGUGACAGCCGUAUGUAUGGCUUGCAUAUAGCUGCUGCUGGGAAAAUUGACGAUUUCAUGGCUGGCCGUGUUAUUGUCUUAAAUUAGUUGUGAUAAGCUGUUGCUUGGAGAUUCUGUUGCCAAGACUUUGCUCACAUCAGAAGCUGUGGAAUCUGAACCCUUCGUUAUGUAUCAUCUUUUUCAUUGUUUUAAAACUCUCAGGAUUAAACUUGAGCGAAUUUGUUCGGUUGUCUAUAUAAUCAUGUAUUGAGUAAACUCUCAGGAAACUGAACAUGCAAAUGUUAUAACUCGGGUUGUUAGCCAAAAACUUGUUGAAUAGGGAUUUGGAUUUGUUAGGAAGUUAUCAUUUUUUAUUUUUUAUUUUGUUUUAUUUUUUUAUUUUUUUAUUUUUAUCUUCUGGUGGUGCUAUAUUUUCAAACGACAGUCCGAUUCAAAACUUGAUAUUCCAAUUAUAUUCAUAAGCUUCUAUAGUUAUCUUCAAAAAGACAAAUGGAAGGCUUUGAACGGCUUGGGUCUGAGUAUUGUAGUUUGAUUUAUUUUGAUGAAAGAACCUUUUGACAUUAAGAUUCUUUCAUGAGUUAAACAUUCUUUUUAAAACCAACUUAUUAAAAAAAAGUAACGAACAUAUAUUAUUUUGUUAGUGCUUUUUAAAUCAAAUAUAAAAAAGAGAACUGUAAUUCUUAGCAACCAAUUUUUCACUGAGUACAGCUACAACAAACUAUUAAAAAAUAAAGUGAUAGAAAAUGCCUGAUUUUUCGUACUUUCUAAUUACUUUUGGUCCUAAAAUAUGGCGAUUUGUGUAAUAAUAAGUCCAUGUAUAUCUUUAUGCCAUUAGUUUGAUAAAUAGCUAUCAAGGAUAACUUAUUAAGCUAAAAAUAUUUGAAGGAUAAAAUGAUAAAACUAAAAGGGUGGAGUAAUAUAGUUAUUUAGGAUUACAUAGUAAGUCAACUAUAUUCAAGGGAUAAAAUAUUAAAACUUGAAUAGUGAUAUUAAAAAUAUCUCGGUUAUUAUACUAUUAAAUCAUAUGCCGUAAUAGUAUUUUUUUUCAAACUUUAAAAAAUUCAGGAUUUUAAAUUAAAACAUGGAUUUCUUUAAGAUGCUAUAUAUGUUUUUUAUAGUAUUGAUAUUGGGAUUAGUGUGGACCCUUAGAUGAAAGAGUUUUAAUCUGAAUCAUUCAUUUAAUAUAAUAGAUAAUUAAAUAAUUAAUUAAAAUAUAGCAGGUAACUUAUAGGUUGUAGGUAAAAAAUUAAUUUUUUAAUUUUAAAUUAAAAUUAAUUUGGAAAAAUACCAUCCACACCCCUAAAGUUUACUUAAAUGAUCAUAUAAAUCCCUUUAGUUUCUACAUAGUUAUACAGAGCCUCUUAAUUUCAUAAAUUAUUAUUAUACUUUUAAUUAAAACAACCUAAAUGAAUAUAAAUAUAGUAAUAGGAUAGAAAUAAUAAAUAAAUAUCAGAUGAAACAAAUAAAAUAUUACAAUAAAUACAAUUAAUUAAAUAAUAUGUAUGAUGAAAAUUUUAUUCAUAUUAAGUUAUUAUUAGUCUAUCCCGAUGGAUUUACUCAAAUCAAUUAAUCCAAAAUUUAAUUUUAAGAUUGAUAUUAAUAUGGACAUAAUUAAAUAAGAUGUUGUAAUAUAUACUACUUUGAAUGUUAAGUAUAAUUAUCUAAUAUUAUUAGUAUGUGAAAUAGAUUUUAAUAUUAUUAAAAGAAUAUGACAAUAUAUAAUUUUGAAAUAAAUUUUUUAGUAUUCAUAAUAUUUUAUAAAUUUUAUCUUAUUUUAUAUAUUAUAUUUUUUUAUUUUAAUGUAUUAUAUAUGAUCAUUUAAGCAAAUUUUGGAGGUGCGGUGGUCUUUUCCCUAUUAAUUUUAUAGCAUAUUUAAAGUGUUAUAUCAUACAUCAUACAUCGCACUUUUGUUAAAGUGUUAUGUUAUUAAAAAUUAAACUUUGCAUUUAUAAUAUACUACCAUUUUAAUGUAAAGGUAAUAGAAAAUAUGAAGAUAUUUUUAAGUAGUCAAUUGUAGUUUUCUUUUACAAAAUAGCAGUAUAGAAAUACACACACACACACACACACAUAUCAAGUACUUGUAUGUUCCCCUAACUUUUAUUAAUAGGAAGGAAAUUAAAUUCAUAAUUUUCCCGGUGAAUUAUGAAUUGAUAAAUGAAAUAUAAAUAUUAGAAAAAAUUAAUUUGUCGACUAAAGAAGUAAACCAUAUUUUAUGGGCAUUUAAUACAUUAAUUUAAGGUCAAAUGAGAUAUAUCACAUGAUAUUUGAUAUAGUAGUCCAAUUUUCAACAUUUGCAUAUAGUUUCUAAGCUAGUAAUCUAAUAAAAUAUACCAAAUGAGAAAUUGAAGGCUAUUAUUUAUAUUUCACCAUUGGACAAACACCAUACAUUAGAAUAAAAAAAUCUCACAGUAGAGACGGCAUCUGUUUGCAUGUUUUGAAAAUAGAUUUUGAAAUUAGUUUAAUUACAUGAUAAUUAAAUUAUAUUAUAAAAUUAAGAAUAUGAUUUAAGUACUAUUUUAGCAAUUUUGAGUCUCACAUUGAGUAUUGAAGUUAAUUAAAUGUUGAAACUCUUUUCUAUUUGGCUUGAAAUCACUACUUAAUAAAAUUACAAAAAGUCAAUAAUGAAUGAUGUAGGACACAUAUGUAAAAUAAAUUUUAAAGUGUAAUUAAACAUUCCUAUCAAUAUUAGUUUUGUAUACAUAUUCAUAUAUUUUACUGAAACCAUAUAUAAUUAAAUUUUGUGUAAUUAAGUAAAAUAUAUUAUUCAAGUGAAUUUAUGAGAAUAUGUAAAAUUGUAGGGGUGGUCACUGAAAUUUGCCAAACUUGAGCCAACCGUGCAUGAUCCAAACAGUUUAUUUUAAUAAUUCUCAAUAUGUUAGUCUGUUUGACUGUUGGCAAAAUGAAUUCCUAUCAGCAAUGCAACACAAUUCAAAAUCAUAUCUGCAUACAACGAACAAUAUCUCAUCAAAGAUCAAAUUAUACAUUUUUUACACCAAAGCAUAAAUAUCUAAAUUGUCCCUCUUCAACUCACCAAGCUCAUACCUAACAACAGCAAGAUUAAAUGUCAUUUGAUCCAUCUUUUUUAUUAAGCUUUAUCAAUUCUUCUCAUGGUUGCAAUUUUGAAAGCUCGCUUCGCUAUUUCCAUUUGCUUUUAUGCUUUGUUUGAGCUCCAUCUACAUUUUACACUGUAAAAAAAAUUUAAAAAAAAUUACAAAGCUUCUUAUACUAGAAUAUGAGCAACAAUAUAAAUAAUAAACAAUAAAGUUAUGAUAGCACAGCAUACUCAUUAAAGUGCUUCUUUUUUUUUUUCAGCAAGAAAUUACUACUGAAUUAAAGAAUUGGCUUUGCAUUAAGGUUUGCCUUCAAUAACUCAACUCCCCACUUGGGUUUUGUCGUUUUCUUAAAAUCUCUGCUCAAUCAAUUUAAAGAUCCAUUUUUUUUUUCUUUCCAAAGAUCUAAAAGCAAUGUCUUUUAUUGGUACCCAACAAAAAUGCAAGGUCUGUGAGAAGACAGUUUGUCCAGUUGAACAGUUAUCUACUGAUGGGGUUGUUUAUCACAAGUCUUGCUUCAAGUGCUCUCACUGCAAAGGCACACUCAAGCUAAGCAAUUACUCAUCCCUGGAAGGUGCUCUUUACUGUAAGCCUCACUUUGAGCAGCUUUUGAAGGAGUCGAGUAACUUCAACAAGAAUUUCCAAUUACCUGCAAAGUCAGCUGAGAAGUUAACUCCUGAGCUGAGAAGGUCGCCUAGCAAAGUUGCCAGCAUGUUCUCUGGGCCCAAUAAAAAUGUGCUUCUUGCAGUAAAACAGUGUGUCCGUGGGAGAACGUAGCAGCGGAAAACCAAGCCUCUCACAAGACAUGUUUCAAGUGCUCACAUGGUGGUUAUUCCAUUAGCCCGUCAAAUUACGCAGCCCUAGAAGGCAUCUUGUAUUGCAAACAUAAUUUCUCCCAAUUGUUCAAGGAAAAAGGCAGCUACAACCACCUUAUAUAAAAUCUGCUUCCAUGAAGCGUGCUGCAGUCUCUGUUCAAGAAGCUUGAACAUGUUAUGUUAUCUUCCAUAAAUCUUAUUUGGCGUGGGUUUUCUCUGGCUUGAGGGUGUGCUUUCUAUUUUGAUCCCUCUUGUUGUUUUUGCGGGGAACUACCAAACCUUCGGUUCCCUCUGCUUCUUUGGAUCAUCUUUGUUGGGACAAAUUUCAUGUAAUUAGAGAUACUGAUUUAUGGGAGGCAUAAUCCCAUGGUCGUAAAUUGACCAUUUUCUGGCAAUGUUCUUUUUAAAAAGAGAUGAGCAGUUGUUUAACAAAAAAAAUAGCUGGCCUUCAUCAUGGUAUGUUACCAAACUGCUAUGUAUAGCUGCUAACUAUGAGCAUCCGAAAAUAUGGUGCAUCGUGAUUCAUGUAGUGCAAUAUGGCUACCAACGCAUCCUAAAUGGAGUAUUACUCAGUUAGUCAGCAAAAUAAGACAACAUAACUGAUAUUAAAAAAAUAAAAAAACUACAUUAAUAAGUGGGCAAGAUCAUGCCAGUUUAACUUUUCGCGCGUCGCUGCUGGAGAUAAUCAAAUCGGGGCAGAGAAAAGGAGAAUGGAAUCAGAGGCUAAGAUUAAUAAGUGGGCUUCUGCUUGCUUUGCCCCUCUUUCUUAAACGAUUGGUAGACUGCUGCUUCCACCGAUUAACCGGGUCUUCAACCACUGCUUUUACUGCCUGCCAUCUUGUUGUUUGUCGAAGGGAUGAAUUCGAGUCGAAAAGAGAAAGCGCGCUGAAAAAGAUAAAUCACUAGUGGUUAACUGCUUACUCAGCCAAGUGUUGGCUUCACUUGAUUCACCGAUUGAGGUUAUUUUGUCUUCUAUCUAAUGCAGCGAAGAAGCUUUGCUGCUUAACAUGCUGCAAUGCAACUUUAUCCUUUGAAGUUCACACUUCAGGGCUGCGCACUUUAUGUAAUCCUAUGAGUAAAAAGAAUUUGUUUUCAAAUGUGAAAAAAGAAAAUGUAAGGUAGUAACUAAAUAUUUUAUAGCAUCAAAGCAAUAUUUGAUAUGAAUUUAGUACAACAAAGAACAUCAAAUCUGUGAUUCCUUGUCUAGUGUCACCAUCGAGCAACAAAUUUAAAAGCCUACCUAUCAAAUACACGAGGCAAUAAACGGAGAAAAAGUUGAAUUACAAGAACAAGUUUACAAUUCUUGUCAAUGGUUAAUGAUUUGUGAACUGAGACAGCUUUCAAGAAUCCAAUUUCAAUACAACAACGUAAAAGAUAAACAGAUGAUGAAUUCUAUGAGAUAAAGAAGGAGAUCGUGUUUUAUCGUAUCUCUAUUUUCUUUCUUUUUAAAUUUAAAAUAAGCUUUUCAACCGGUUUGUUAACCGGUUAUAAUAUUUUUUAAAAUAAUUAAAUAUUUUCAUUAUUAAAAAUAAUGUGUACCGUUGAUUACAUCUAACGGUAUAUAUUUCUUACACUACUAAUAUCGUAAAAAAAAAAUACAGCAUCAUAGAGGGACCCUUAAAACAUUUUCAUUUGAAAUUAUUUGGUGAAGUGAAAAAGUUAAGAAAGAAAUAGUUGUCCCUUUGGUCAUUUCACAAAAAUGAAAGCCCCAUAUAACAUGGACUUGAAUGGAAGCCCAAUUGUUGUGUUUGAUUUCAAGCUUUAUCGGACCUUUGGACCUGGAUACUUUACUGCGGCCUCUAAGCGCUACAAAUUUUUUUUUUGGGAUAAAAGGCGCUUCAAUGAAAAAGCACUUUAAAACUUUGGAUUUUGCCAAAACUUCAAAGCGGUUGGUCCGGUUACGGUGUUAUGCUAACGGGUUUAAAGGUUCUGAUCCAAUGAGUUAGGGUGGAAUAUGAAUAUAUAAAUUCCAUAGCAUGUGAGGACUAGGAUUUGUUUGUUCAUAUCAAGAAAAAAGAUCUGAAAAUUUGAUGAUCAGAAGAUAAAAACACUUAAACACGUUUAUUACAGAGAAACAAACGACAACACGAUACUAGUAGUAGUUAUUCUUUUCAUCCGAUAUAUUACAUGGUAAUAUCACCACUCGUUCCACUGGUUUCAUAUACACCAUCGACCAGCAACAUGAUAAUUUUGUGUCAGUUCAUUUUGUUUGUAGGAAAGAGCAGUAUCUUUUUUAGAACUUGAAAAUAAUAAAAAGAUUUUAAAAUAUAAAUUGCAUAUUUGUUUAUUGCUGUUGUUUGGUCUAAUUUCUUACGUAGAAUUGCUUGUCAUUCUUUGUACGUUAUUGAUUAUAUUUUUGUCAGACUUGGCGUAUAUAUUCACAUAUGUUUUAUUUUGUCAUUUUGUAGAACAUUUUUACAUGCCAUAUUAUCACGACUCUUCUGUGUCUGAAUAAGAAGAAAGCAUAAUGCGACCCUCCAACAGCUUAAUCUAUGGAAUUAUCGUGUUUUGUAAGUUGAGGUCCAAUGGCGUUUUGGCACAUCAUAUGAUAGACCACUAUAUUGCGUUGCUUUACAAAAGAUUAAUAUUUUUAAAAUUAUUAGGUAAGUUUAGGCUCAGUGGCACUUUAACUCAUGAUAUGAUAGUCCAGGUUUUCAUCAGCCUGAACAUGGACCUGUCGCCAUGGAUAACUCAGGUUUUUUUUUUUUUAAUCAACUACGUCAUCUUUUCCACUGUUUUGAAACUCUUAAGAUUAAACUUUAGUAAAGUUAUUUUAGUUAUCCAUGUAAUCAAGCUGAGGAUACUUAGCUGCCUAUUUAGGCAAAUGUCAGAAUUUAGUUUGUUCGCUGGGAACUGGUGUGGUGACAGCGUCCUGGCAAAGGAUGAUGAGAUAGUUUUUUGAUUGAGUAAAUUUUGGGAGCUUGAGUGUAUUGGGAUUUGCAAUUACAAUCAUCCUCUGCCUCAGGUGAUUUCUUCUCCUGCCCUGUCGUUGUUUGUUCUCUAAUUCAAAAUUAUAAAAUUUUUCAAUCAAAUUUUAUGCCAGGAAUAUGCAAAAGUUUCUAAUAUUUUAUUUCCAUCUGUUUGCCUUGAUAACUUUGCGGCAUAUGUACUAGUUAAAUCCCUCAAAACGUAAACAAAACUCUGUUGGUAUUGAUUCCUAAGGUGGACCAUCCUACCAGUUUAACGAUGUUUCGGCCUAUAAGUUUAUGCACUGUCGCCUAUAAGACAGUGACUAAAAUUAUUGCCACUCGUUUACAAGAACUAUUACCUGAGCUGAUCGGGCCUCAUCAGACAAGUUUUGUUCCCGGACGACACAUUGUGGACAACAUUGUUAUUGCUCAGGAAGUGGUUCACUCCAUGCGCAGAAAAACUGGUAAAAGAGGGCUUAUGGCUAUUAAGGUGGAUCUCGAGAAGGCAUAUGAUCGGCUGAACUGGUCGUUUAUUUUUGAAACUCUUCAAUUGACAGGGCUCCCGAUUCAAUUAUCUCGGCUCAUCAUGGAAUGUGUUAAAUCAGCUAGCAUGAAUAUUUUGUGGAAUGGCGAGGUAACUGAGGAGUUUUUUCCGGGAAGAGGUAUUCGGCAGGGUGACCCUCUAUCUCCGUAUAUUUUUGUGCUCUGCAUCGAGCGUUUGAGCCAUGGAAUAUCCCAAGCUGUGGGGGAUGGAAGUUGGAAGCCAAUUCGGCUGGCUAAACAUGGCACUCCCCUUACCCACCUUUUUUUUGCUGAUGAUUUGCUUUUAUUUGCAGAAGCUUCGAUUGAUCAAGCUCAUAUCAUUGAUGCGGUUUUGGAGAAUUUUUGUCGAAGUUCUGAAGUAAAGGUUAACAAAGUGAAAACUACAAUUUUCUUUUCGAAGAACGUUGCUGCAAGAGAGGCCAAGCUCAUUGGUGCUGCCUUGGGGGUUUCGAUUACUCAUGAUCUGGGAAGCUAUCUUGGAAUGCCGUUACUUCAUUCGAGGGUGAAUAAAGCUACGUAUCAAUCUAUUUUAGACAAGGUAGACAUAAGGCUCAGUGGCUGGAACGCGGCUCAUUUAUCCUUUGCUGGUCGUGUUACUUUGGCGCAAUCGGUGAUUCAAGCUAUGCCAAUUUAUGCAAUGCAAACGACCAUGCUUCCUGCUUCGGUGCGCCAUAGAAUUGAUAAGAGCUGCCGUAGAUUUAUUUGGGAUGGGAAGUCGAAGAGUCCUAAGAUGUGCAUGGUGGGCUGGGAUAAAAUCUGCUUGCCGAAAUCAAGUGGUGGCUUGGGGUUUAAGAACUUAGAGGUGAUGAAUCAUGCCCUGUUGAUGAAGAUUAGUUGGGGCAUUAUCUCCAACUCAGAUAAGUUAUGGGUGCGGGUUCUCUGUUCCAAAUAUGGAUUGGACCCAUGCAAUUUGCCGUCUUCCCUCCCUGACAAACAAGGUUCGCGUAUCUGGUCUGCUAUAAGAAAAACGUGGAAUGCAACCAUGCAUGGAGCUCGCUGGGCAGUGUGUGAUAGUGCUCGAAUUCGUUUCUGGCUGGACUGUUGGGUGACGAAAUAUGAGCCUUUGAUUCACCUAGCUCUCCAACCGAUCCCUCAGGCCUCUCUCAAUGCUACGGUUAGCGAAUUUACUAAUGAUUAUGGUGGCUGGAGAUGGGCGAGCUUUGAAUUCCUACUGCCCCCUUCUGUUCUUAUGCAGAUUGCCUCGAUCAUGCCACCUGCGCCGCAUCUUGGUCCUGAUAGACUAUAUUGGAGUUAUAAUCCAAGAGGGUUGUUCACAGUCCGAACUGCUUAUGAGUCUCUUUGCUACCAUAACUUAGACACUCAAGAUAAAGUAUGGAAAUUGCCAUGGUCUUGGAAAGGGCCCCAAUCUAUAAAGCUCUUUAUUUGGCAGACUUUGCAUGGCAAAUUGAAGACCCACAGUGAGCUUAAUAGGCGUAAUAUCCCCGUUUCUGAAGUUUGUGUUAGGUGUGGGGUUUCGGCUGAGGGCAUUCUUCAUGCUGUGAGAGAUUGUAGUUGCAUUAAGAAUCUAUGGCUUAGUCUUGUUCCAACCUGUCAUCAACUUGCUUUCUUCCAAUCCAACUUACGUGCAUGGGUUGCUGCCAACAUGCAAAAUACGUGGAAAAUUGAUUCGGAGCUUCCUUGGGAUUGUAUUUUUGGAGUGGCUAUUUGGAGAUUAUGGUUUUGGCGUAAUCAAUUUAUUAUGGCUGGGAAUUUGGUAGAUAGCAAGACAAUAUAUUCGGAUAUUAUGGCCAGAGCUAGUGAGAUCCAUAGAAUUAAUAACUCACAUCUCAGCCCACAACCAAGGCGUAAGGAGAUUUUUAUUGGUUGGUUGCCUCCUCCAUGGCCAUGGUGUAAGUUGAACACAGAUGGUUUCUGUAAACAUACAGGAGCAACUGCAGCGGGUGGGGUUAUUCGCGACUCCGUUGGUAACUGGGUCUCAGGCUUUAGUAUGAAUAUUGGGGAAAGCUCAGUGAUUAUGGCUGAACUUUGGGGCCUGUAUCAAGGAUUGUCCCUCGCCUGGAAUGUUGGAAUUAGACAUCUUUUGGUGGAAGUAGACAGCCUCUGUGUAACUCAGAUGAUUUCUCAACAGAUGGUUGUGCCUAAUGUCUCCUACGCUUUAGUGGUGGCAAUUCGUGAUUUUUUAAACAGAAAUUGGCAGAUUAAUAUCUCGCAUAUCUACCGUGAAGCGAACUCAGCUGCGGAUUUCAUGGCAAAUAUGGCCCAUUUAAUACCGCAUGGUCUACAGUUAUUCUCUAACCCGCCUGUGGGUAUUUAUUCUAUUCUUUCACAAGACAUGUAUGGGGUUUGUCAACCCCGCAUUAUUCCUAUCUAGCUCGCCUUGAUGAGCCCCUUUUAAUAAAAAAAAAAAGAAGAACAAAUCGAAACAGAGCUCAGUUAAAAGUUUCUUCUGCCGUCAUAUUUGAAAAAUGAAACCAUUUCCAGGAAGCAAUGGGCAGCAAAUUCAUAUAAAGCGUAGACAAUGAUGAGUAAAAAGGUAAUUCACAAUUUCACUUUUUUUUUAAUGAAAUUAAUUGUUUGGUUGGAGAGGAUAUUGUUAGAAGGCCAUUGAGCUAACCUAUGUCACUACUUGCCUAGAUUGCAGGGGGUCAAAACUCAAAAGAGGCAUUGAUUUUAAAAGGCAUCCAAUAAUUCUUGUGGCCAUAUAUCAAUUCAUGUAAGUUUGAUUGUAAUUAUUGGUGAAGGGGUUUCACUUCCCGUCUCUAAAUAAAAAUACUGAUUCUUUAAGGUACAUGCCACUAGGGAUUGCGAGAUUAACGAGUCUUUGGACAUUGGAAGAGCUCCUUGUGAGUGGAGGAGGAGGUGUUGAUGGUAGCAAAGCAUGUGGGCAGUGGGCUUGAAUCUCUUAAAAACUCGGAACUCCUCCAAGCGUAAGUAUACGUAUACUGGGAAAUGUGUUAGAUGUGGAUGAGGCUAAGAGAUUAGAGCUUGACAAAAUGAAAUACCUCUUUCAUUGAGACUUAAAUUUGAUGGGGAAGAAGAAAAAGAAGAGGGAAGGAGGAAGAAUGAGGAUAAUCAACUUGUUCUUGAAGCCUUGCAACCACCUCUGAAUUUGAAGGAAUUAGAGAUUUGGUCAUACAGAGGCAACAUUUGUUUUCAAAUGUGAAAAAAGAAAAUGUAAGGUAGUAAUUAAAUAUAUUAUAGCAUCAAAGCAAGAUUUGAUAUGAAUUUAAUACAACAAAGAACAUCAAAUCUGUGAUUCCUUGUCUAAUGUCACCAUCGAGCAACAAAUUUAAAAGCCUACCUAUCAAAUACACGAGGCAAUAAACGGAGAAAAAGUUGAAUUACAAGAACAAGUUUACAAUUCUUGUCAAUGGUUAAUGAUUCGUGAACUCGGACAGCAUUCAAGAGUCUAAUUUCAAUACAACAACGUAAAAGAUAAACAGAUGAUGAAUUUUAUGAGAUAAAGAAGGAGAUCGUGUUUUAUCGUAUCUCUAUUUUCUUUCUUUUUAAAUUUAAAAUAAGCUUUUCAACCGGUUUGUUAACCGGUUAUAAUAUUUUUUAAAAUAAUUAAAUAUUUUCAUUAUUAAAAAUAAUGUGUACCGUUGAUUACAUCUAACGGUAUAUAUUUCUUACACUACUAAUACCGUAAAAAAAAAAUACGGCAUCAUAGAGGGACCUUAAAACAUUUUCAUUUGAAAUUAUUUGGUGAAGUGAAAAAGUUAAGAAAGAAAUAGUUGUCCCUUUGGUCAUUUCACGAAAAUGAAAGCCCCAUAUAACAUGGACUUGAAUGGAAGCCCAAUUGUUGUGUUUGAUUUCAAGCUUUAUCGGACCUUUGGACCUGGAUACUUUACUGCGGCCUCUAAGCGCUAUAAAUUUUUUUUUGGGAUAAAAGGCGCUUCAAUGAAAAAGCACUUUAAAACUUUGGAUUUUGCCAAAACUUCAAAGCGGUUGGUCCAGUUACGGUGUUAUGCUAACGGUUUUAAAGGUUCGGAUCCAAUGAGUUAGGGUGGAAUAUGAAUAUAUAAAUUCCAUAGCAUGUAAGGACUAGGAUUUGUUUGUUCAUAUCAAGAAAAAAGAUCUGAAAAUUUGAUGAUCAGAAGAUAAAAACACUUAAACACGUUUAUUACUGAGAAACAAACGACAACACGAUACUAGUAGUAGUUAUUCUUUUCAUCCGAUAUAUUACAUGGUAAUAUCACUACUCGUUCCACUGGUUUCAUAUACACCAUCGACCAGCAACAUGAUAAUUUUGUGUCAGUUCAUUUUGUUUGUAGGAAAGAGCAGUGUAUUUCUUAGAGCUUGAAAAUAAUAAAAAGAUUUUAAAAUAUAAAUUGCAUAUUUGUUUAUUACUGUUGUUUGGUCUAAUUUCUUAUGUAGAAUUUUCAGAAUCUGUAGGACGUUAAUUUAUAACUUUGGUAAUUUAAUUAUUUUCUUUUUAUUAAUGUCCGGACAAAAAAUUAUUAUAAAAGGGUAAUAUUGUAAAAGUAAGCCAAAAUAAAUAACAAAUAACGAUAAGAGUAUCAAUAUUUUAAUAGCAGGGAUAUUUCGAGAUAUUUUUAAAAAUACAGAGACUAACUGGACAUUAAUCUUAAAAUAUAAGGACUAAAUGAGCUUUUACCCUUUUUAUAAUCCACACCAUCCUGAUAUAAUUAAACACCAUUAAUAAUGUACCAGCCUUUUAAUAGUAAUUAAUUUAUUUAGUUGGCCACCUAAAAGAAUCCUGCAGGAAAUACUAGUUAAAAAAUUUAUUAAAUUUGAUUACCUCUGUAUCAUUAUAUAUAUAAAGACUGAAAUCCAAAUGAAAUAUUUUAUCAUUCAUUCAGCAAACACUUAUAAAACACAAAUAGUGAAUCUAUGCAUUGACAAUGUGGAUUAAGAAUUAUAACACAUGAAUUCAAACAUACCCUCGUGAAGUUAAGAAUAAGUUCAUACUUCAAAUGAUUUUUUUAGCUAAUAAAGCAAUCACUUUCAUUAAACGACAGUGUUGAAGGAAUUGUGCAAUUUUUUACGUUCUUUUCUAGACAGACGUUACAGAGAUGGGGAAAGUAGAGGACUGGCCUCAGAUAUCUCACAAUUAUUAUUCUUUUUCAUUGUUAUAAUAAUAAUUUUUUUCUUUUGACAGUUCUGCAGGACAAGUGAUCAGAGCUCAAUGAAUAUAUCCGUGGAGGGUGAACUUAGGUUGAUGUCAAAAGAGGUAAAUGAAUUGGCCUGUUUAUAUAUAUAUAUAUAUAUAUAUAUAUAUAUAUAUAUAUAUAUAUAUAUAUAUAUAUAUAUAUAUAUAUAUAUAUAUCAUAUAUAUAUAUAUAGAGAGAAAUGUUCCAGUCAGGAAUUUUAAAGUGCAGGAAAGUACGGGAAACCUUUAAAACCGCAUGGUUUUAAAGGCUUAAAACUGUAAGCCUUUAAAGCNNNNNNNNNNNNNNNNNNNNNNNNNNNNNNNNNNNNNNNNNNNNNNNNNNNNNNNNNNNNNNNNNNNNNNNNNNNNNNNNNNNNNNNNNNNNNNNNNNNNAGAAUUUCUCUGUUAAUAUAUAUAUAUAUAUAUAUAUAUAUAUAUAUAUAUAUCAUAUGAUGCAGGCCACAGCAGAGCAGGAUUAUGAAAAAGAGAAGCUUAUUAAUAAGUGUUUACUUGCUUUUGAAAUAUAUAUAUAUAUAUAUAUAUAUAUUUCAAAUUCAAGUUUACUUGCUUUUAUAUAAUAAGUGUUUUGGCCGAUUUAUCUAAUUCACCAAAUGUCAUUUCCGGUACAUAUCUCCAUUGGUAUCAAGAAGAGGCAGAACCCAAAGAAACGUUUCUUGCAUCUUCAUAUUUAUGCGAAUUCAUCCUUUCAUUGAGAAUAACCAUUUCCAGCCGGCAGUUGGCAAUCAAUACGCACGUCGAUGCUAUUCAUAGAUAUUAAAGACAAUGAUGAACCAAAGGUGAUAAAUCAUAAAUGUAUAAUUACCAAACAUCCAUCCUUCUCUCAUUAUGAUUUGAUUUUAAAUGAAUUAUUGCUUGGUAACAUUAUUUCCAACCAUUGCAAGAUUAUUAUUAUUAUUUUUUUUUGGGAGAAAUUUCAAUUGAAAGUGAAACCUUUAGACAUUUACCUAAUGAAGUUAGUUACUCGGGAGGGUGGAAAAAAAAAAGUUGACGCAAGUCAAUACACAAUAAUUAAUUAAAUCCGGAGUGACUAAAACAGAGCCACUACUUUUUCAAAAAUAUCUGCAUUCAUCACUUUCUCCAGCAGCUAGUCAGCUACACACGAAUCAAUUUCUCUCCUCGUUUGUCAUCCAAAAUUAUUCACCAAUACCAUGGUUGAUGCCGUCGUUUCCACUAUCUUGGAGCAGCUGAUUUCCUUCGCUGCUGAAGAGAUAAAACAACAGGUGAUCGAAGUUACACCCCUCAUAUUACAAAUACUUCCAAUGAUUUUAAUAAAUUUUGUUUUUAUCAAAAACAUUAUAUAUUUUUGCUUUAUUUUAUUUAUCUGGUAAUUUUAGAUUUUGAAAUUUGAAUUGAAUUUAAUUAAAAGGUGAUGUAGUUAGUAACCACUUAUUUUUAUUUUAUUUCAUUUAUAUUCUCAAUAACUACUCAUAUUUUGGUAACUUACUAUAACUUUCAUAUCUAAGAAAUGAUCAAAACCCACAAUUUUAACUCAGCACGAAUAUUCAACGUUGAGUCAUUAAUUCUAAACUCAGCACUGAAUCCCAUAGCUAUUACUUAGACUCUAUGAAAAAUUUCAUAGUUUUCUUACGUUCUUUGAGUUUGGUAAGUGAUUUCGUAUAAUUUCUUUUCAAGUUAAAUUUUAAUUUGGUUUAUGAUAUAGUCUCUGUGCCGAAUUGUAUCUUUUAUGAUUCUUGGAUUUUGGGCUUCAACUUUUUAGGAUUUGAUAGUCAUAUAUUUAUGCCAUGCUCAGAUUGAUUUUCAUGAUUUUUAGUAGCCGUUAAGUGACUUACAAUUUGACGAAAGUUUGAAAGGAAAAAUGUUUCAGGAUUCUGUUUUAAUUUACCUUUUAGUAGAAAUAGGAUGCUUAUAACUUAAUGUGGAUGGUUCGUAAAAUCAUGAAAUUUGGAUAGGAUUCACUAGAAAUAUGUACAAGACUCUCCAUAAAGUUUCAUAAUUUUUCAUUCGGUAUGGGGUGGUACAGGUGAAACUUGUGGUUGGUGUUGAAAAAGAAGUGAAAAGCCUUACCAGCCACCUUGAAGCCAUUCAAGUUGUGCUCGAUGAUGCAGAGGAAAAGCAAGUGAAGGACAAAGCUGUUAGUCUUUGGCUGGGUAGGCUCAAGUACGCAUCCUACGACAUUGAAGAUGUGUUGGAUGAGUGGAUCACAGCAAGACGCAAAUUGCAAAUUGAGGGUGGCGUUGAUGAAAAUGCUCUUGUUGUUCCUCAUAAGAAAAAGAAGGUAUGUCUCUGCUUUCCCGGCUCUUGUUUUGGAUUCAAACAAGAAGAAUUUGGUUUCAAACAAGUCUUUCUCCGUCAUGACAUUGCCGACAAGAUCAAAGAAAUCAAUGAAGAGCUACAUGAUAUUGCCGCUCAAAAAGACAUGUUUGAUCUUGUUAAGAGUGGCAAUAAAAGUAGUGAAAGACCAAGGCGUGUACAGAGUACCUCCUUGAUUGAUGAGGAAGAGAUUUGUGGUAGAGUUGGUGAGAGGAAUGAACUCAUAAGCAAGCUGUUGCGUGAGAGUAGCGAGCAACAAAAAGGCCUCCAUAUCAUCUCAAUUGUUGGUAUGGGAGGCAUAGGGAAAACUACUCUUACACAACUAGCUUGUAAUCAUGAUGAGGUGAAGAGAAAGUUCGACAAAAUUCUGUGGGUGUGUGUAUCAGAAACUUUUGAGGAGUUUAUGGUAGCCAAAGCGAUCGUUGAAGUUUUGGAUGGUCGUGAAUCUCAUUUAGCUGAAUUCCAUUCUCUUCUUCAACAUAUUUAUGAAUCAAUUGCAGGGAAGAGCUUUCUUCUUGUCUUAGAUGAUGUGUGGGAUGGAAAUUACUUGAAAUGGGAACCAUUCUACCGUUGUCUAAAGAAUGGUCUCCAUGGAAGUAAAAUUUUAGUUACCACACGUAGUGGGUCUGUUGCAUCCACGAUGGGAUCCACAGAUAUUAUCUCCGUCAAGGAGUUAGCUGAAGAGGAAUGUUGGUUGUUGUUUAAAAAGAUAGCAUUUUUUGAUCGGUCCAUCGAGGAACGUGAAAAAUUAGAACAAAUUGGGCAAAGAAUUGUAGGCAAGUGCAAAGGUUUACCUCUUGCAGCAAAGACAAUAGGGAGUCUCAUGCGUUCUAAACAAACUGAAGAAGAGUGGAAAAGAAUUUUAAAUAGUGAUUUAUGGAAAGUAGAAGAGAUUGAGAAAGAUGUUUUGUCCUCUUUAUUGUUGAGUUAUAAUGAUUUGCCAUCUAGAGUAAAAAGAUGUUUUUCAUAUUGUGCUGUCUUUCCAAAAGACUACGAUAUAAAAAAAGACGAACUAAUCACAUUAUGGAUGGCUCAAGGUUAUCUUAGUGCGGAACAAGAUGAAGAGAUGGAGACA